rnacentral:rRNA from 1 species
AUUGAACGCUGGCGGCAGGCUUAACACAUGCAAGUCGAGCGGGGGAAGGUAGCCUGCUACCGGAUCUAGCGGCGGACGGGUGAGUAAUGCUUAGGAAUCUGCCUAUUAGUGGGGGACAACAUCUCGAAAGGGAUGACAAUACCGCAUACGUCCUACGGGAGAAAGAAGGGGAUCUUCGGACCUUGCGCUAAUAGAUGAGCCUAAGUCGGAUAAGCGAGUUGGUGGAGUAAAGGCCUACCAAGGCGACGAUCUGUAGAGGGUCUGAGAGGAUGAUCCGCCACACUGGGACUGAGACACGGCCCAGACUCCUACGGGAGGCAGCAGUGGGGAAUAUUGGACAAUGGGGGGAACCCUGAUCCAGCCAUGCCGCGUGUGUGAAGAAGGCCUUAUGGUUGUAAAGCACUUUAAGCGAGGAGGAGGCUACUUUAGUUAAUACCUAGAGAUAGUGGACGUUACUCGCAGAAUAAGCACCGGCUAACUCUGUGCCAGCCGCCGCCGUAA